rnacentral:lncRNA from 1 species
AGCUCAAUGGCCUUGGUGAGCUCGCCAGUGCGAAUUCAGUUUUGCCUGACAGUUCCUUUGAUUUCCUAACUUGGUAUACCGACUUUGGCUUGACCUGAAACGCAUCCUUGAACCAAGUUAAUAAUCUUAUGAUCACUCUCAACCACCUUAAUUGGUCCAUGUUGUUACAUCAUUCUUGAGUCACAUUGCCUUCACUAAAGCCAAAAGUCCUUCCUUGAAACGUUUAGUUCGGCUUCUUGUUACGGGUCCAACUAUCACUUGCAUCGGAUCCUCCAUUUGAAUCCAAGCUAUUGAUGUCCUCAUUAUUCUUGCCAGAUGCUUGCUUUCAUCAGAACUUGACAUCCUUAUUUUAAUGCCAAUUGCUAGAAGGCAACAUGCAUUUACUCUUGAUUUGAUUCCACAUGUUAGCAUAUCAUUCUCCAAUACUUAAAGUAUUACAAGCCAUGACUAGGAUGAAACUAAACAACUCUUAUGUUUGAAGUUUUAACUUCGAAGAGUAAUUUUACUAGGCAUUAAAUUGAGCAUAGAUAUUAUUCACUUUGUUCUAAAAAGAUUUUCACUUAAGAAAUUUAUUAAUAUUAAAAAUAUUUUUGUGGCACGUGUACCCUUAAGAGAUGACAUUCAAAAUUUGUUCUUAAAAUCACUAUUCUCACUGAUUAUUUAGCUACAUCCAUUAAGUUUUAUUUUACUUAUUAUGGGCCUCAUGUGACUUAAAAUAAUUGAAUGAAAAACAAAA